UAUUAGCAUCAAGAACGCUUAGCGUACCAACCGACUAUUUCGAAGCACGGUGGUUUAGAAUGUGGGUAGCUCUGCCAAAUUUUCGAGCAAUC
rnacentral:ncRNA from 10 species